GGGUCCCGACUAGUGGUUAGGCCACAGCGCUGAGAGUGCUGUGACCCAGGUUCGAUUCCCGGCCAGGGAACCA